GUACACACCGCCCGUCACACCAUGGGAUUUGGAUUCACCCGAAGGCACUGCGCUAACCCGCAAGGGAGGCAGGCGACCACGGUAGGGUCAGCGACUGGGGUGAAGUCGUAACAAGGUAGCCGUAGGUGAACCUGCAGAAGGAUCA
rnacentral:rRNA from 1 species